UACACUCCUGCGGGAGGCAGCAGUGGGGAAUAUUGGACAAUGGGCGCAAGCCUGAUCCAGCCAUGCCGCGUGAGUGAUGAAGGCCCUAGGGUUGUAAAGCUCUUUCACCGGUGAAGAUAAUGACGGUAACCGGAGAAGAAGCCCCGGCUAACUUCGUGCCAGCAGCCGCGGUAAUACGAAGGGGGCUAGCGUUGUUCGGAUUUACUGGGCGUAAAGCGCACGUAGGCGGACUAUUAAGUCAGGAGUGAAAUCCCGGGGCUCAACCCCGGAACUGCCUUUGAUACUGGUAGUCUUGAGUUCGAGAGAGGUGAGUGGAAUUCCGAGUGUAGAGGUGAAAUUCGUAGAUAUUCGGAGGAACACCAGUGGCGAAGGCGGCUCACUGGCUCGAUACUGACGCUGAGGUGCGAAAGCGUGGGGAGCAAACAGGAUUAGAAACCCUGGUAGUCCCAUG
rnacentral:rRNA from 1 species